CCUUGUUGCUUCGGCGGGCCCGCCUUAACUGGCCGCCGGGGGGCUUACGCCCCCGGGCCCGCGCCCGCCGAAGACACCCUCGAACUCUGUCUGAAGAUUGUAGUCUGAGUGAAAAUAUAAAUUAUUUAAAACUUUCAACAACGGAUCUCUUGGUUCCGGCAUCGAUGAAGAACGCAGCGAAAUGCGAUACGUAAUGUGAAUUGCAAAUUCAGUGAAUCAUCGAGUCUUUGAACGCACAUUGCGCCCCCUGGUAUUCCGGGGGGCAUGCCUGUCCGAGCGUCAUUGCUGCCCUCAAGCACGGCUUGUGUGUUGGGCCCCGUCCUCCGAUCCCGGGGGACGGGCCCGAAAGGCAGCGGCGGCACCGCGUCCGGUCCUCGAGCGUAUGGGGCUUUGUCACCCGCUCUGUAGGCCCGGCCGGCGCUUGCCGAUCAACCCAAAUUUUUAUCCAGGUUGACCUCGGAUCAGGUAGGGAUACCCGCUGAACUUAAGCAUAUCAAUAAGCGGAG
rnacentral:rRNA from 1 species